rnacentral:piRNA from 1 species
UGUUAGAGCAGAUGAGAGAGGACAGAGU